UGUUGGACCUUUGGGACGUCGCUCUCCAUCCCCACUAAACCUCUCCUGCUUUUAUUGUACCGAGUUUUAGAGGUAUACAUGGAUUUUUUUGGUUGUGUCAAGCUAUAACAAGGAUAGUGAUAAGACAGACUAAAACAUCACCUCGUAUACUGAGUGACUUGGAUUCCAAUGGAGGAAGAGAGAAGAAAGAUCUCAUCUUUGGGGUCCUUUCCAAUUCUGUAACGAAGCUCUCAAGAGUUUCCUAAAGUGUCUUGGUCUUUAUACCUCUCCUUCCAAUUCUUCGGCAUCUUCGGUUCAGGAGGAUGCCGUGACGACAAGGGGAAUUUUAGUCGGAUCAAAGAAAAGGCCGAGAGAGCCACAUAGCUCUGGAAAGCCAGGCGGCCACAACUAAAUUAGGAACACUUGAUUUGUUGUUUUGCUAUCUAUCAGCCAUAAAAGCCACGCGGAAAAAACAGAUUACUAGUUGCAUGCAAUGUUUCACGUUUAUCAUACACAUCGUUUUAUGUGUAUUUUUGGCUAAUAUCAUGAAGUUCCAUUAAGUCUUAAAAUUAUUCAAAGCAUAAAGGCUUUUGUUUUUCAGACGUUUGUGUGGAUGGACGAUCGUGGACGGUGGCCAAAUGGUACGGAAAAUAAUGUAUCUCUGGUUAAUAUUAAAAUAUGGUUUAAUAUAAAAAUAUAUAUCCUUUUGUUCCAUUAUAUUGAGAUUUUUGGUAAAAUCUUGAAACUUAAGAAAACAGAUAAAAUUAUAUAUUUUAUUUUAACAUGAAAACACAUUUAGUGUUGUUAUAUAAAAAAAUAGUCGAACAAUCAUAAAUUAGUGUAAAAUAUAAACAAAUUCGAUAGAAUAAAGAAAAAUGGAAAUAUACUUAGAAACAAUAAAGUAAAAUCGUUAGAACAGGCUAUCUAUAAAAUCUGAUGUGUCGAUUUGUAGACAAGAUAUUAAUUUUAAAUUUGAUCAGAAUAUAUUCCAAGCUCACAACUUAAUUAAUUAAGGAUUUUUUGUUUUACCAGCAAACUGAUGUAAAAGUCCGUGCAAUGCUUCCGUUGUACUAGCUUUUACUAAUUUUAUUGAGAACAGAAAGUCGAUCAAAGAAAACCAGUCACGUAUUCAGAUAAACACGAAAAUCAGAUGAUUCCUUUUUUUUUUAUUCACUGGUCCAAUGUCCGUUGACCUAUCACUAGGGAGAGAGGGACACAAAGUUCCAGGUAAAGCAUAUAUCACCAGAUUCACCGCCAGUAAUUUCAACAGAAUAAGAUACUGUAUACUUCUAUUACUUCACGUAUUCUUUUUUUUUUUUUUUUUACUUCACGUAUUCUGAUCGACUACGAUAUAUGAAAUCAACGAAUAUACUUUUUGAUAGUUCCUAGCAUCGCUAAUCUGAACAAACGAAUACGUGUCAAAUCUUAAAUAAAUACAACUAAUUGCAAACGGGAAACAUGCAAUAAUAUUUUCAUAAAAAAAUCAUGCAAUGAUAGGAAUAUAUGCGACCGAUGAGCUGUUACAUUUAAAUAAAUUGUAUAAAUAUAUUUUUAUAGUAAUUAGCGUAAACGCUCAAAGUUGACCAAGAUCAAUGAUGAGUGAUUUGAACUCUAUAUUAGUGAUCCGAUUAGUCUCUUCUAAGCACACAAUUAGAAGAAAGAAAGAAGAGAUGGAGAGCAAAGGAAGAACAGAAAGUGGAGUUUUUUCUUACGUCUACAUCCCUUUUAGUUUCAUCCACGAGAUUCUACAAUCUCUGUUCGUUAAGUUUCUCGGUGUAAGAUCACCUCCUAGUAAUUUUCCGAUAUCAGAAGAAGAGGAAGUGACGGAGGUUGUGGAAGUGACGUCCAGGAAAUCGCAGCUGGAAUAUAGUUCCGGCAAGCCUGGAGGUACUAACAUGUCGCGUGGCUAAUGUUCUAUUGCGGCGUGUCACCCAUGUGAAACAAAGUCAAAGUCAAGUUAAUAAUGUACGGAGAAAAUCUCGUACUUUUAUGUUUCAUUAUUGUAUAUUUGUUUAUAAAUUUUUUGUUGUGUUGUGUGUAUUAUAUAUGAUUCUUGGAUGUUCGUAACUUUGUAAGGUUGUUUGAGUAUUUGAUUGUAAGAAAACAAAAAUAAACAAAAACGCAAGUGUAUAAUAAGGAUGAUGCUUAUGGCGAUAAGCAAAGCAAGUUCUAGGCACAACCUAUGAAAAGAUUCACUUUGUUUACUAAAAUUUAAAAAACUACUAUACAUUGCAAGUCUUCAAACUUUGUCAUGAUGAAGAAUUUGAUGAUCUUGAUUACAUGAUACUCCAAAAGAAACUUUGCUUUGCGUCUCAAUAAUCAUAGUCUCCAUAGUUUCAUAUUAAUCAAACUAUAGACUAUUCUUAAGCUAUGAUAUGAAAUGAAAUGUGAUUGUUCAACCUGUUAAACUAUAAUCUAAUCUCUCCUUGAUACAUUUACAUAAGUUAGUUAUUUAUGUUAUUACACAAAGAGUUGUAACUCUUCAAGUUGUGUCCUUUAGUAUAAAGAGUUGUGUCUCUUAUACUUGUAUUGAUUCGAUCUCUAUAUAAAGAUCAAUCAUCUGUUGUAAACAAAUCACCGAAUCUAAAUAAUACAAAAGUAUUUUCAGAAAAGUUUAUAAGCCUGAAACGUCUAUCAAAGGAACAUCAAACUUUGGAGUGUACUUCACAAGCGUGAAAGAACCAAGACUUCUAGGCUACACGGACAGCGAUUGGGGUGGUUCUAAGGAAGACAAGAAAAGCACUUCAGGUUAUGUGUUUACUCUUGGAUCAGCCAUGUUUUGUUGGCAGUCAAGCAAGCAACAAACAGUGGCGCAAUCUACGGCUGAGGCAGAGUACAUAGCCGUGUGUGCAGCAGCAAAUCAAGCAGUGUGGUUACAAAGACUAUUUGAAGAUUUUGGUCAGAAGUUUGAAGGAGGCAUUCCAAUCUUAUGUGACAACAAAUCAGCAAUAGCAAUUGGGAAGAAUCCAGUGCAACACAGAAGGACGAAGCACAUAGAGAUCAAGUACCAUUUCGUGAGGGAAGCUGAGCAAAAGGGAAUCAUUGAACUGAAGUAUUGCAAAGGGGAUGAUCAACUCGCAGACAUUCUCACAAAGGCAUUGGGUGGUUCAAGAUUUGAAGAUCUAAGGAAGCAGCUUGGAGUCAAGUCGAGAUAUGAUUAAGGAGGAGUGUUAAACUAUAAUCUAAUCUCUCCUUGAUACAUUUACAUAAGUUAGUUAUUUAUGUUAUUACACAAAGAGUUGUAACUCUUCAAGUUGUGUCCUUUAGUAUAAAGAGUUGUGUCUCUUAUACUUGUAUUGAUUCGAUCUCUAUAUAAAGAUCAAUCAUCUGUUGUAAACAAAUCACCGAAUCUAAAUAAUACAAAAGUAUUUUCAGAAAAGUUUAUAAGCCUGAAACGUCUAUCUUAUUCUUUCUCUCGAACUCGUGUGUAACACAUUGUGAUCGUUGUGUAACACAAGCGGUUGGUAAAAGAUUAACACAACCCUCUACUUCCUUAGCUCGCUUUGCAAAAGAUCUUGAUGCCAUUUUGGAGAAGCGAGUGAUAGUGAAGAACAAUUGCAACAAAGAACGUCCCUUAACGAUCCCUUCCUUUAAGCUCCUCGCUGUUUUAGCUACCACUGGUUCUGCUCCACUCGUCUUGGUUUGAUGCAUCACCUCCUGCAUCAAAGCUACUAAUAAAGUAGAAAACAGAGUUAACCAUGAAGUCCGUCCACCCCUCGAAAACAGAGUUUAAAACAAUGUUUGUUAACCUCCUUAGUCUAUCUUCAGCCACACGAAUAGCCCGUGUUGAGCUUCUAACACCUUGAGUGAUACCUUGGCUACACAAUAUUGAAGAGUUUAAA